GAUUUAUGUCGUAGUACAGUUACUAGUUUAUGCAUGAUUGAUAUUACGGAUAUUUAUUUUUGCACAUACCGGCACAAACUAUUGCAUUUAUCAUUUUACGGCUUACAUAAAACAUUUAAUAGUGUUCAUUGUGUAAGUUUAAAUCAUUUGAUUUGAUAGAUUUUUCAGUAACCAGUAACCAUACAUUUUAUAUUUUGACAAAAAUCUGGACAUUUACAAAAUUGGCAUUUUAGUAUUGCAGUACCCGAACACAAACACAGAACUAUAAAAUUGUCAGAAAUGGUAAAACGCUCGGAGAUAGAAAACGAAGAUAUUUCACUGGAUGGAAAUUUCUUGUGUGAUGGUAAAGGAGGAACUGUUCCAUAUGAUCGAAAUAAUUCUAGUUUACAUUUGAAGAGGGACCAGUGGUCCAGUAAAUUGGAUUUUAUUCUUGCCUGUGUAGGGUGCGCUGUUGGACUCGGAAAUAUUUGGAGAUUUCCACACCUGUGCUAUAAGAAUGGAGGAGGGGCAUUUCUGAUACCAUAUAUUAUAUGCCUUGUCACGUGCGGUUUGCCGCUGUUUAUGAUGGAACUGGCUCUCGGACAAUAUAUGAAUAUUGGCAGUGUAGAAACAUGGGCUAGACUGAUUCCAGCAUUUAAAGGAGUAGGAAUAGCAUCGUUUGUUGUCACUUUCCAAAUGAACAUCUACUAUAUCAUAAUCUUGGCUUGGGCUGCCUACUUUCUUGUCAUGUCGUUUACUUCAACACUUCCGUGGUCACAUUGUAACAAUGAGUGGAAUACCGAAAGAUGUUUUCCUCAACUGAAUGUUACACCAAAUAUAAAUGCGUCCGCUGUGAUGGUGAAUGUAUCAACAAGUGACAAGAACGUUGACGCUGUUACAGAGUUCUGGGAAAGAAAGGUUCUACAUAUUUCGAAAGGUAUCGACGAGCCUGGAAGCAUAGUUUGGGAGUUGGCUAUAUCUCUACUGGUUGUUUGGAUCUUGGUCUAUUUCUGUGUUUGCAGGGGUGUCAGAGUGAGUGGAAAGAUAGUUUAUUUUACUGCACUGUUCCCAUAUCUUGUUCUAACAAUCCUCCUGAUACGUGGAGUGACACUAGAUGGGGCUAGUGAUGGCAUAUACUUCUACCUGAAGCCGGACUUCUCUAGACUGACAGAUCCACAGGUAUGGGUUGAUGGUGGCACACAGAUAUUCUUUUCUUAUGUUCUUGCCACCGGUAUUGUUACAACACUGGGCAGCUACAAUAAGUAUAAUAACAACUUUUACAGGGACAGCUUCAUCAUAUCAGCUAUCAACAGCUGUACCAGUUUCUACGGAGGUUUUGCUGUAUUUUCCGUUCUUGGUUUCAUGGCAAAGGAACAAAAUGUUACAGUUGGAGAAGUUGUCAAAUCUGGUCCCGGCUUAGUGUUUAUUGCAUACCCCAAGGCAAUCACGGAAAUGCCACUGUCGCCUCUCUGGGCGAUUGUGUUCUUUUUCAUGAUUUUACUCGUUGGGUUCGAUAGUCAGUUUGUGGAUGUAGAAGCAUUUUUGGCGCCAAUUAUAGACGCUUUCCCACAAUACCUGUACCGGAAAAGAAAUAGAAUGAUCCUUACCGCAGUAUAUUGUCUACUUUCUUACUUAAUUGGAUUAACAAUGUUAACAGAGGGUGGAAUGUACGUCUUUCAAAUUUUUGACUACUACAGCGCCAGUGGACUCGUCUUGCUAUGGAUUUGUUUCUUUGAGGCGAUUGUUGUCUCAUGGGUGUUUGGUAUAAAUGUUCUUAAGAUAUUCUUUCCUGUUUUCGCAAAAGAGAAAAAUCAGCAUUAUCUAUUUUAAGGAGAGGAACGUUUCCAGGAAGCAGCUGAGCUAAUGAUAGGACGGAGAUUUCCAUGCUGGUUUUUUAUAUGUUGGAAAUAUAUCAUACCAGUCAUAACCUCUGCGAUAUUUAUUUUCUC
rnacentral:misc_RNA from 1 species